AGCACGUGCCUUUCAGGCAUCCUCUCCUAAACCUUUCAAGGCCGACCCUCGGGUCGGCCCUUUUUUUUGUCCGGC
rnacentral:sRNA from 1 species